AUUGAACGCUGGCGGCAGGCCUAACACAUGCAAGUCGAACGAGUGGCGGACGGGUGAGUAAUGUCUGGGCAACUGCCCGCUGGCGGGGGAUAACUACUGGAAACGGUAGCUCAUACCGCAUACCAUCGGAUGUGCCCAGAUGGGAUUAGCUAGUUGGUGGGGUAACGGCUCACCUGGGCGACGAUCCCUAGCUGGUCGGAGAGGAUGACGAGCCACGCUGGAACGGAGACACGGUCCAGACUCCUACGGUAGGCAGCAGUGGGGAAUAUUGCACAAUGGGCGCAAGCCUGAUGCAGCCAUGCCGCGUGUAUGAAGAAGGCCUUCGGGUUGUAAAGUACUUUCAGCGAGGAGGCGUUACUCGCAGAAGAAGCACCGGCUAACUCCGUGCCAGCAGCCGCGGUAAUAC
rnacentral:rRNA from 1 species